CAAUAGCGUAUAUUAAAGUUGUUGCAGUUAAAAAGCUCGUAGUUGGAUUUCUGGUAGGAGUGACCGUUCCGAACUUGAUUGUUCGUGUAUUGUGUUUUCUCCAGCCAUCCUUGUGGAGAACUUUUCUUGCAUUAAUUUGUAGGGAUUGGGACCCGCAUUGUUUACUGUGAAAAAAUUAGAGUGUUUAAAGCAGGCAAUCGCUUGAAUACAUUAGCAUGGAAUAAUAAGAUAGGACUUUGGUACUAUUUUGUUGGUUUGCAUACCAAAUUAAUGAUCAACAGGAACAGUUUGAGGAUAUUCGUAUGAACAUGUCAGAGGUGAAAUUCUUGGAUUUUGAUCAGACGAACUACUGCGAAAGCAUUUAUCAAGGAUGUUUUCAUUAA
rnacentral:rRNA from 1 species